GAAGGUGGCCAAAUCAGUACUUUUCCGAUGCUCUCAUAUUGAAUGAUCGAAUCAAACAAUCAUAGAAGAUAAAUAUAAGCUAACAAGUCUUGCUUUCCAAAAAUCCGUCGCCCAUGUCCUCGAGACGUAGAAAAUAGCAAAUAAGUAGCUCACUAGCCAAACAAUGGCGGGAUAUUCUCGACGACGAUCAACAAAUGGCGGGGCACUCAAACCAACAAGAAACCAAGCACAACACCGAAAGCCUCCAUGAACUGAUUGAUGACCAAUGAUGGCUCGUCAUCACUAAGCGCCUCAACUUACUCCUCUAUACCAGAAACAAAGAAGACAAAGAAAACAAGACAGGUGAGCGUUAGUGAAAGUCGCCUAGAGGGAGGUGAAUAAGGCGAAUCUGAAAUUUACAAACUUAAUCACAACUACAAGCUGGGUUAGCGUUAGAAAUAGAAACGAGUCCGAUAGAGGGCGCAAAACAAAUCACAAGCGAAUAAAGAGUGUGACACAAGGAUUUGUUUUACCGAGGUUCGGUUCUCUCAAACCUACUCCCCAUUGAGGUGGUCACAAAGACCGGGUCUCUUUUAACCCUUUCCCUCUCUCAAACGGUCCCUCGGAUCGAGUGAGCUUCUCUUCUUAAAUCAAUUGGGAACCAAACUUCACGCAAGGAUCAGCACACAAUUGGUGUCUCUUGCCUUGUUUACAAUUGAGAUGAUCGCAAGAAAGAAUGAGAAAAAGAAGCAAUCCAAGCGCAAGAGCUCAAAUGAACACAACAAAUCUCUCUCACUAAUCUCUAAAGCCUUGUGUGGAAUUGGAAGAGAAUUUGAUCACUUUGGUGUGUCUAGUAUUGAAUGCUUAGCUCUUGUGAGUAGUUGGAAAAUGG
rnacentral:lncRNA from 1 species